AGACCCGAAACCCGGUGAUCUAGCCAUGGGCAGGUUGAAGGUUGGGUAACACUAACUGGAGGACCGAACCGACUAAUGUUGAAAAAUUAGCGGAUGACCUGUGGCUGGGGGUGAAAGGCCAAUCAAACCGGGAGAUAGCUGGUUCUCCCCGAAAGCUAUUUAGGUAGCGCCUCGUGAACUCAUCUCCGGGGGUAGAGCACUGUUUCGGCUAGGGGGCCAUCCCGGCUUACCAACCCGAUGCAAACUGCGAAUACCGGAGAAUGUUAUCACGGGAGACACACGGCGGGUGCUAACGUCCGUCGUGAAGAGGGAAACAACCCAGACCGCCAGCUAAGGUCCCAAAGUCAUGGUUAAGUGGGAAACGAUGUGGGAAGGCCCAGACAGCCAGGAUGUUGGCUUAGAAGCAGCCAUCAUUUAAAGAAAGCGUAAUAGCUCACUGGUCGAGUCGGCCUGCGCGGAAGAUGUAACGGGGCUAAACCAUGCACCGAAGCUGCGGCAGCGACACUGUGUGUUGUUGGGUAGGGGAGCGUUCUGUAAGCCGUUGAAGGUGUCCUGUGAGGGGUGCUGGAGGUAUCAGAAGUGCGAAUGCUGACAUAAGUAACGAUAAAGCGGGUGAAAAGCCCGCUCGCCGGAAGACCAAGGGUUCCUGUCCAACGUUAAUCGGGGCAGGGUGAGUCGACCCCUAAGGCGAGGCCGAAAGGCGUAGUCGAUGGGAAACGGGUUAAUAUUCCCGUAC
rnacentral:rRNA from 1 species